GGCGGACGGGUGAGUAACACGUGGGUAACCUGCCCAUAAGAGGGGGAUAACAUUCGGAAACGGAUGCUAAUACCGCAUAUUUCUAAACGUCACAUGACGAAUAGAAGAAAGGUGGCUUCGGCUACCGCUUAUGGAUGGACCCGCGGCGUAUUAGCUAGUUGGUGAGGUAAUGGCUCACCAAGGCGAUGAUACGUAGCCGACCUGAGAGGGUGAUCGGCCACACUGGGACUGAGACACGGCCCAGUCUCCUACGGGAGGCAGCAGUAGGGAAUCUUCCGCAAUGGACGAAAGUCUGACGGAGCAAUGCCGCGUGAGUGAAGAAGGUUUUCGGAUCGUAAAACUCUGUUGUUAGAGAAGAACAAGGAUGAGAGUAACUGCUCAUCCCCUGACGGUAUCUAACCAGAAAGCCACGGCUAACUACGUGCCAGCAGCCGCGGUAAUACGUAGGUGGCAAGCGUUGUCCGGAUUUAUUGGGCGUAAAGCGAGCGCAGGCGGUUCUUUAAGUCUGAUGUGAAAGCCCCCGGCUCAACCGGGGAAGGUCAUUGGAAACUGGGGAACUUGAGUGCAGAAGAGGAGAGUGGAAUUCCACGUGUAGCGGUGAAAUGCGUAGAUAUGUGGAGGAACACCAGUGGCGAAAGGCGACUCUCUGGUCUGUAACUGACGCUGAGGCUCGAAAGCGUGGGAGCAAACAGGAUUAGAUACCCUGGUAGUCCACGCCGUAACGAUGAGUGCUAAGUGUUGGAGGGUUUCCGCCCUUCAGUGCUGCAGCUAACGCAUUAAGCACCUCCGCCUGGGGAGUACGACCGCAGGUUGAAACUCAAAGGAAUUGACGGGACCCGCACAAG
rnacentral:rRNA from 1 species